rnacentral:rRNA from 1 species
CCUACGGGCGGCAGCAGUGAGGAAUAUUGGUCAAUGGUCGCGAGCCUGAACCAGCCAAGUAGCGUGAAGGAUGACGGUCCAACGGGUUGUAAACUUCUUUUAUAAGGGAAUAAAGGGGGGCACGUGUGCCUGGUUGUAUGUACUUUAUGAAUCAGGAUCGGCUAACUCCGUGCCAGCAGCCGCGGUAAUACGGAGGAUGCGAGCGUUAUCCGGAUUUAUUGGGUUUAAAGGGUUCGUAGGCGGUCUGUUAAGUUAGAGGGGAAAUCCCGGGGCUCAACUUCGGCAUUGCCUUGGAUACUGGUAGGCUAGAGUGUAGGAGAGGUAGGCGGAAUGUGUGGUGUAGCGGUGAAAUGCUUAGAGAUCGCGCAGAACACCGAUUGCGAAGGCAGCUUGCCGGGCUAACACUGACGCUGAGGCACGAAAGCGUGGGGAGCGAACAGGAUUAGAUACCCGGGUAGUC